rnacentral:rRNA from 1 species
GAUGAACGCUGGCGGCGUGCCUAAUACAUGCAAGUCGAGCGAACAGAUGAGGAGCUUGCUCCUCUGACGUUAGCGGCGGACGGGUGAGUAACACGUGGAUAACCUACCUAUAAGACUGGGAUAACUUCGGGAAACCGGAGCUAAUACCGGAUAAUAUAUUGAACCGCAUGGUUCAAUAGUGAAAGACGGUUUUGCUGUCACUUAUAGAUGGAUCCGCGCCGCAUUAGCUAGUUGGUAAGGUAACGGCUUACCAAGGCAACGAUGCGUAGCCGACCUGAGAGGGUGAUCGGCCACACUGGAACUGAGAAACGGUCCAGACUCCUACGGGAGGCAGCAGUAGGGAAUAUUCCGCAAUGGGCGAAAGCCUGAAGGAGCAAAGCCGCGUGAGUGAUGAAGGUCUUCGGAUCGUAAAACUCUGUUAAUAGGGAAGAACAAAUGUGUAAGUAACUAUGCACGUCUUGACGGUACCUAAUCAGAAAGCCACGGCUAACUACGUG